rnacentral:rRNA from 1 species
CCUACGGGUGGCUGCAGUGAGGAAUAUUGGUCAAUGGGCGGAAGCCUGAACCAGCCAAGUAGCGUGCGGGAUGAAGGCCCUACGGGUCGUAAACCGCUUUUGCACGGGGAUAACACCCGCCACUUGUGGAGGUCUGCAGGUACCGUGCGAAUAAGGGCCGGCUAAUGCCGUGCCAGCAGCCGCGGUAAUACGGACGGCCCGAGCGUGAUCCGGAUUGAUUGGGCUUAAAGGGAGCGUAGGCGGGCGUUCAAGUCAGCUGUAAAAUCGCGCGGCUCCACCGCGCCCCGCCGUUGAAACUGGACGCCUUGAGUUCACUACAGGCAGGCGGACUUCGUGGUGUAGCGGUUAACUUCUUAGAUCUCACG